AGCGUAUAUUAAAGUUGUUGCAGUUAAAAAGCUCGUAGUUGAAUUUCGGGAUCAAUACGUCGGUCGUGCUUCGGUACGUACUGGCGUAAUUGAUUUCUCCCUUCUGACGAACCAUGAUGUCAUUAACUUGGUGUCAUGGGAAAUCAGGACUGUUACUUUGAAAAAAUUAGAGUGUUUAAAGCAGGCUCACGCUUGAAUACAUUAGCAUGGAAUAAUGAAAUAGGACGUUCGAUCCUAUUUUGUUGGUUUUUAGGAUCAACGUAAUGAUUAAUAGGGAUAGUUGGGGGCAUUAGUAUUCAAUUGUCAGAGGUGAAAUUCUUGGAUUUAUUGAAGACUAACUACUGCGAAAGCAUUUGCCAAGGAUGUUUUCAUUAAUCAAGAACGAAAGUUAGGGGAUCGAAGACGAUCAGAUACCGUCGUAGUCUUAACCAUAAACUAUGCCGACUAGGGAUCGGAUGAUGUUAAUUUUUUAAUGACUCAUUC
rnacentral:rRNA from 1 species